UACAGAGGUGGCAAGCGUUGUUCGGAAUUACUGGGCGUAAAGGGCGCGUAGGCGGUCCUGUAAGUCCCGCGUGAAAUCCCCCGGCUCAACUGGGGAACUGCGCGGGAAACUGUGGGGCUUGAGUUCGAGAGAGGUGGGUGGAAUUCCGAGUGUAGAGGUGAAAUUCGUAGAUAUUCGGAGGAACACCAGUGGCGAAGGCGGCCCACUGGCUCGACACUGACGCUGAGGCGCGAAAGCGUGGGGAGCAAACAGG
rnacentral:rRNA from 1 species